UGUGCCUCUCAUUCUACUGGUCUGUACUAUGUAAUAAAGAUGAUUGCUUCCCAGUCUAUAGGUACAUACUGUUGAUUGCUUUUGUGGCCUACUACUUGAUGGGGGCGAAGAUAUUUCAAGCUUUGGAGACAGACAUUCAGGAGGAAUUGAAAAAUUCCUUUUUGGAGGCCAGAGAAGCUUUAAUGAGUAACUAUGCCAACAUCACUCCAGAAGAGCUUGAAAUCUUUUUGCAGGAGUAAGGAAAUCUGCUGGUAUUCCAUCUGCCUGCCAAAUAAAACUCCAAACCCUCUUUUUUAAGGAAGAUAACAUCAUUCCGAGUCUCUACAUAUUUUCAUAUACAGUGGCCAGCAUCCAAUGAAAAAUUAGGAGUAAAAGAACUGGGAGAAUCUCGGACUUUUAGGGAUCCACAUAAGAUCAGACUGUUGGGAAUGGAUGUCACCGUGACCCAUGGUUUCUGCCCUGAGGAUAAUAACAACAAGGUCUGAAUGACCGCUUCCUUUGGUGUAUGGCCUGGUGGUGCGCACAGAAGUCCAACUGAUUGGUGGAUAUAGAGAGCAAGAUGGAGUCACUCAUGUCAAGCAGGGACAUAGGCAGUCAAGGGCAUUGGUGCUAAGAUGAGAUGUUGCUGAAACCAGCACAGGCUGAUGACACAGCAGAACCAGAAGAGGCCCAUAAAGGCCUAAGACUGGUUAAGCAUCUUCAAAAAGAGAGGACUUUUGCAGCAAUGGUCAGCCCUCCAGAAGCUGACCCUUCCAUAUCUGACUGCAUCAGAAAGGCAGUUGCUGAUGAGAGGUCUGCCUGACUGAUCUCUGAACAUAACAGAGAUCUUCCACUGCUUGAAUAUAAUAAGCAGCGUGUUCAGAGAGCUGACCCAGGCUGAAACGAGCCCUCAUCUCACUUGUGCACUCAUGCACAGACUCCACAUUUGCUUCACUAAGUUCUUACCCCUUGUUGUAUCUUCCUUGUGAUUUUGUUUUAUGCUCUGUUUUGUGUGAUACAUAAGAAGCUAAGUUAAAUGUGUAGUGAAAUGUCAUCGGGUUUGGAAUACUGAACCUGCUUUACAAUUAUGUUAGCCUUGCGGGGCGACUGGGUGGCUCAGUUGGUUGAGCAUCCGACUUCGGCUCAGGUUAUGGUCUCACGGUUUGUGAGUUUGAGCCCCGCGUCGGGCUCUGUGCUGGCAGCUCGGAGCCUGGA